GGGCUGUGAUCUCCAUUGACUUUAGUUGGCUAGUGUUAGAAUUGAUGAUGAGAUUACAAUUUACAAUUAAGGGGGAAUGUCAUGGAAAGUUGAAUUUAUUUAACAUGGGAUUUGUAUUUCUAAAUAGAUAGAAUAAUUAUGUCUAUAUGUUCCUAUGAUCAUAGGAUUUGAUAUAUUCCUAUUAUAGUUGGAGAAUCCCAUCAUUUAUAAUAUCAUACCAUAUAUGUCUUGGAUCUUUCGUUAUAAAAGGGAACUUUUUAUAUUAUUGAGAUAACCCAAUUCAAUAAAGGUGUAACCCUUUGAGGUUUGUGUCCGUGGAUGUCGAACCACGUAAAUCUUCUUAUAUUAUUAUCUUCUAUUUUUUAUUCUAAAUUUAAUAUGGUAUUAAAGCCUUCAAAUUUUUAUGAUUUUUGUUUGGGUACUGUUUAUCAGUACUAUUCACGAGUACUAUUCAUCAUCACUAUUGGCACUAUUCAUUAAUACUAUUUAUGGGCAUUGUUCAUACCUAUGUUUGUGUUCGAUUGUUAUGUUUUGUUCAAUUCUAAGAGUUGUUUUGCAGUGAUGUUUUCUCCCCAGUAUUACCUUUGGAGAGGAAUUUUGUGUUGAUGUUCCUUUUCGAUAUUGCCUUUGGAGAGGAAAGUGCAAUUCUGAAGAUUAUUUUGUAUUUUGAUAUUUUUUGUAAGUGCCUUUGUAUGAAUAGUUUUGAAUAUGCUCAUGAGUUACUAGUCGGAAGCUGUUAUGAGAAAGUCUUUGGCUUUUACUUAGAAUCUCAUUAAGGGGGAGUGUUAGAAUUGAUGAUGAGAUUCCAAGUUAUAAUUAAGGGAAAUAUUAUGGAAAGUUGAAUUUAUUUAAUAUAGCAUUUGUAUUCCUAAAUAGAUAAAAUAAUUAUAUCUAUAUAUUCCUAUGAUCAUGGAAUUUGAUAUAUUCCUACUAUAGUCGAGAAUCCCUUCAUUUAUAGUAUCAUACCGUAUAUGUUUUGGAUCUUCCAUUAUAAAUAGGAAACCUUUUGUAUUAGUGAGAUAAGCCAAUAAAGAUGUAGUCCUUUGAGGUUUUGUAUCCAUGGAUGUAGGCUCUCACGGUCAAACCACGUAAAUCUUCUUGUAUUAUUGUCUUUCUCUCUCUUUUAUUGGCUAGUAAAGAUGUAGUUCUUUGAGGUUUUGUAUCCGUGGAUGUAGGCUCUCACGGUCAAACAACGUAAAUCUUCUUGUGUUAUUGUCUUUCUCUCUCUUUUAUUGGCUAGUAAGCUUCAUCUCAAGUCGGAACACCGAGGACUCCAAUUUUUAAUCUUCCCUGCUCGUCAAUAGGCCAACUCUUAUUAAGCAUGUAUUUACAACUUGAAGCCAGCAUAAGGUUGUUGAGUUCAUGAAGCUAGCAAGCAUCCAUUUUGCCUACCGAGGGACAAUAAAAUAUAUUUAGAAGCUUGUUCCUAUACUCAUGAAACUUCACCACUGAGAAACAUCUCAUCCAGCUAUUUUUUUUACCAUUAAACUAGUCCUCCAAGAAACUAGAAUCCCAAAAUAAGACGUCAUUAACAUGCCUAGGAGCUAAGACAACUGAAGAAUGUUAAACAAAUUGGAAUAAUUUUUGUUCUGUCAGCAAUUCAAAUUGGUUUCAGCAUCAGAUUAAUCUAAAAGAAAUAUGAUACCAUGAAUAAGUAGAGCCCCUCAUAACUGUUAAUCACUUACAUGAAUUAUAAAUAAUCAAUAAUAAGCAAGUCCAAUAUAUAGUUUAUUACGUUCUCAACUUUCUAGGACCUGCUUAAACCUACUUCAGAAUGAAAGUUUAAAGAUUUGGAGAGCUGUUCUAUAGGAUAUUGACCUCAACAGAAUCCGUAUAUCUUUACAGUAUCCAAUCUCAACCUAACAAGACUAAACCCUUUUGUUUAACUUAAAAAUUACCGUACAUGAUAUUUGUUCUCCAUGUCUUUUACACACACAUAUAUAAAUAUAUGUAUGAUUGCUUUCAAUUCUAAGUGUCAAAUUGUAUAAAUUUCAUUACAUUCGACGAGCAAAGCAGAACAACCAGGAAAGAUCCGCCAUCAAAGAAAUUUAGUCCAAUUAACCAUUCAAACAAUCAAGUGGAGCUAAUGCAAUCGAAACCCAAGCAAAGACCCAUUUGCAAAGAUACAACAA
rnacentral:lncRNA from 1 species